ensembl:snRNA U6 U6 spliceosomal RNA
ACACACAGAGAGAUUAGCAUGGUCCCUGUGCAAGGAUGACAGUCACGUUUGUGAAACAUUCCAUAUUUUA